GUUUUGCCUACCACAGUGAGCUCCGGCUUGCUAGUCUCCCCUGGAGGCGACACACUCAACGUGCGGAAAGGCCCUCCCUGGAGGGAAAUCCGCAGCCCCUACCCGGGGUUCAGAGACUCAAUGAGUGUGGGUGUGGCCUAGCCGCACUUAAGAUAGAGCCCGUCCCGGCUGGCAACUGCCGGGAGUCAGCGGAACCUGCGGAAGGAUCAUUA
rnacentral:rRNA from 1 species